CAAUUGGUCAUGUGGAUGGAAAUAGUGAGCUAGCUCAUAGUGUGCUUGAGAACUGAUUUAGAGUGCAUUGGUGCAUCCAUCGCAUGGCCCUAUCCAUUCAUCUCGGUAGUCCAUGAGGAUUGAGGACGCAUGAUGACUCAAGAUUUUAUGCUUCUUAUUUCUUUAAUUGCUUGUAAUUUCUUUGUUAAAUA